UUUUUUGUUGUUGUUGUUUUAAACAUUGAUUUAGUUAGUUAUUUACUUGGCUGUGCCGGGUCUUAGUUGCGGCACAUGGGAUCUUCAUUGGCGCAUGCAGUAUGUUUUAGUUGUAGCGUGCGGGAUCUAGUUCCCUGAGCAGAGAUGGACCCCGGGCCCCCUGCAUUGGGAGCGCGGAGUCUUAGCCACUGGACCACCAGGGAAGUCCGUCAUCCCUGUUGUUGCGAGUAUGAGAAGCCACUCCUUUUUCUGGCUGUGUUGUAUUCCAUGAUGCGUUUGUCCAUUCGCCUGCGGGUGGCAGGACUUGUGGGAUGUUUCCAGUUUUGAGGAGAUCAGGAAUAAAGCUGCUGUAAACAUCCCAGGGCAGGUUUCCAUGUGAACUUGGGUUUUUACCUCACUUGAGAAAAUACUCAGGAGUGGGACUGGGAUCUGUGCUAAGUGUAUGUUUAACAACCCUUCUGCAUCUUAGAAAUUGGUAUUUUUGAGUAUUGGAAGAGUUUAGAAAUGCACUGUGACCCAGCACCCAGGCACUUGAAACGAAGUUGAAGGUUCAUCUGGAGAUGGUCAUGUUGUCCCCGUCUCUGUCUUUUAUUCGAGGCAGAGCAAGGCCACAGAUUUGUAACCCUUGUAAGGAAGGCCUCGUGUGUCCAGGCCCUGGCAGGACCUGGCUUUCUAGUGGUGGGCGGUUCUGAAGUGGAGAGAGUGUCUUUCCCUUGCUGGCUGGACCUCGCUUGGCAGGGUGCAGGGUGUGCUGCCUGCCUGGCCGGGUGCUCUUUCUGCCGGUCAGCAGCCAUUCCUGGUGUGUCUGUCCUACUAUCAGGCAGGCGGUCAGGGGCCCUAGUGAAGUGCUCAGCGAGCUGCAGCCUUCCUAAAGCUUUGCGGGUAAUGUCUGCUACCCUCCCAUUUCCCUGCUGAGGAAUUUUGCUUUCUCAUGGGAAGUGAGGGGGCAGUACUUUAUAAGAGUUCAUAUUUUGUGAUGACUCGAUGCUGAAUACAUUAAGAAAAUGGGCUCCUUCCAGAAGCUUAACUUCUUAGAAGGUCAGGUUAUUCACGUGACCGCACGUUUGAAAUGAGUGAGCUUGUUUGUUCAUUGAUUCAUUCAUUCUGCAAGCACCUCCUGGAUAUUUAGAGUGAGUGUUCCAGGGGGCGCGGAGGACAGUAGACAGUAUUCUUUUUUUUUUUUGAUUUUUGAAUUUUAUUUAAUUUAUUUUUUUAUAUAGCACGUUCUUAUUAGUCAUCAGUUUUAUACACAUCAGUGUAUACAUGUCAAUCCGACUUGCCCAGUUCAACACACCACCAUCCCCACCCCCCCGUGGCUUUCCUGCCUUGGUGUCCAUACGUUUGUUCUCUACAUCUGUGUCUCAACUUCUGCCCUGCAAACCAGUUCAUCUGUACCAUUUUUCUAAGUUCCACAUACAUGCGUUUACAUACGAUAUUUGUUUUUCUCUUUCUGACUUACUUCACUCUGUAUGACAGUCUCUAGAUCCAUCCAUGUCUCAACAAAUGACUCAAUUUCUUUCCUUUUUAUGGCUGAGUAAUAUUCCAUUGUGUAUAUGUACCACAACUUCUUUAUCUGUUCAUCUGUCGAUGGGCAUUUAGGUUGCUUCCAUGACCUGGCUGUUGUAAAUAGUGCUGCAGUGAACAUUGGGGUGCAUGUGUCUUUUUAAAUUAUGGUUUUCUCUGGGUAUAUGCCCAGUAGUGGGAUUGCUGGAUCAAAUGGUAAUUCUAUUUUUAGUUUUUUAAGGAACCUCCAUACUGUUCUCCAUAGUGGCUGUAUCAAUUAACAUUCCCACCAGCAGUGCAAAAGGGUUCCCUUUUCUCCACACCCUCUCCAGCAUUUGUUGUUUGUAGAUUUUCUGAUGGUGCCCAUUCUAACUGGUGUGAGGUGAUACCUCAUUGUAGUUUUGAUUUGCAUUUCUCUAAUAAUUAGUGAUGUUGAGCAGCUUUUCACAUGCUUCUUGGCCAUCUGUAUGUCUUCUUUGGAGAAAUGGUUAUUUAGGUCAUCUGUCCAUUUUUGGAUUGGGUUGUUUGUUUCUUUAGUAUUGAGCUGCAUGAUCUGUUUAUAUAUUUUGGAGAUUAAUCCUUUGUCCGUUAAUUCGUUUGCAAAUAUUUUCUCCCAUUCUGAGGGUGACAGUAUUCUUAUUCUCAAAACUUAUGAACUAAGGAUGGUAGGUGAUCUAUAAACACAGAAGUUCAGCUGAGGUGUAGUGCCCCGUAUAUGGGAUCAACUGAGGUCCCAGAGAGUGGGGCUGCCAGAUUUGCCCUGGGGGAGGUGUGGGUGGUUUCUCUGAGGUGGGGGCACCCACAGGAGGAAGUGUAAACAGCCACAACCGCCUGUACUCGGAAAUGUCCAGCCUCCAAGAUGGGCUUUUGCGCAAUUGACAAAUAGGAGGGUGAGGUGCAGGGCGAGUUUUGUUCCUUCUGUGACUGAGAGUUCCCAGAUAUCUACUUAUAGCUCACGGUGGCAUUUCUAAAGCAGGAUGGUCCUUCUUUUGGUGGGAAAACCGGGUCUCAGCUCAGGAGGAAGCAGGUGGUAUCUUCGGCUGCCUGAUGGCAGGGCAGGAGCCAGCAAGGGCGUGCAGUGGUCCUUCCCCUCCGUGACUCACUGAGGCUGUGGGCGUGGAGCGGCCCCAGCGUGAGUGUCCCCGCCUGCUUCUGGCUUCCUCCUGAGAGCCCACGAGUCUCUGAUGAAUGCCCGCUGAGCAGUCACACCCUUCACUCCACAGUGGGUAGUAGCUGAAGUGGGAGGUUGAGUGAGCCAUCCCUCCCCGUGACUCAGAAAACAUUUUCUGAUUUGACCUCUGCUGGUGUGAGUCCUGCCUAAUCUGAGCUCAGGUGGAAGGCAGGUUAACCCUUUGAGGACUUUCCGUGGGUGAAGUAGCCCCUUUGAAGAGGAAGGGAUCACCGGGAAAUGCCUGGUAUUCCGUAUGUACGUGCCUGUUAGCUUUCAUACUUUGGUCCCUAACAUCCAAAUGCCGCCUGUAUACUCUGUUCCUGGGGGGAGGGGCCAGAGGCAGCCAGCCGGCCCUUUGGAUAUUCACUAGGCAGGAGGUGGCUGGGAGCUGCAGGGGACCGGCCCCCAGUCUACCUCUAAGAGCUGCGUCCUUUUUUCCUUAAUUAAAUUAAACUUUUUAUUUUGAGAUUAUCGUAGAUUCUUGCACAGCUGUCAGAAAUAGGUCGGACACAUCCCACGUUCUCUUUACUCAGUUUCUCCCGAUGGUGGCAUCUUACAAAGCUACGCACCGAUGUAAUGAUUUCAUUGUCAUUGAUACAAUCAAGAUACAGAGUGUUUGGUGUCCCUUUUGGAUUUGGGGACCUGUAGGGUGUGACUGGCUGUGUCUGCGCAUCCCUGGGCCCCGGGCCCGGCGCAUGUCUCCCAGGAAACCCCUCUCCUCCCUCUUUCUUUCUGCUGUGUCCUCCUCUCGUGGUCCUGGCACUCUUCCCCAGUGCGUGAGCCUUCUCUCCCUGGCUGUGGGAUGACAGUCCUGUUUCCUUCCUCCCACUCAGGGUGCUGCCUGGAGGCCUCUUUGACGUCUUCUCUGUCCCCUCAAGCUGUCCCUGCCGUUCCCACCAGCCGGGUCUCCUGCCACGCCCAUGGCGUCAAGUGGUCCCAAGGGUGUUAACAGAGGACAUGCCGGGUGCCUGUCCAUGGUCCUCCGCAGCUCAUGCGUGGCUCUGUAGUGCCUCCCUCACUGCCCGCCUUUCUUGUUCCUUCCCAGACUCUCUCUCCCCACCCACGGCCGCUGUCGCGGUGCCUAGCCCGGGGCUCUGUUCCUCAGCGCCCCUGUGUCGGACCGGGCCCUCUUCCUGUCCAGGGCGCCUGGCAGGGCUCCCGAGUCACAGGUUCCCGUGAGCUGCAGUUGGGAGGUCGGAGGCUGCGUGCUUCACUGAGUGUUGACCUUGGAUGACAACGCCUCCUCAUCUCUGAGGGGCUUCCGUUUGAAUCCCCUCAGUUAGUCAUGGGAGCUGUGCAGCCUUCACCUCUAAUUCCAGAACAUUCCAUCAGCGCAAAGGGCCGGCAGUCCCCUGCUCCAGCCCCUGACACUCUGUGUCUGUGGAUCUGCCUGUUCUGGACGUUUCCCAUCAAUGGAAUCACACACUGUGUGUCCUUCUGUGUCUGGCUUCUCUCACUGAGCAUCGUGUUCUCAGGGUCCGUCCACGUUUAUCUGGUGUGUUGUAGCUUCCCUGAACAUGGUGAGCAAAAGCUGCCUCCCCACAGCACCUCUGGGACCCUCUGACAAGCCAGGUGCGUGCCUGGCCCAAGACAAGAUGCCUGGGCUUCCCUGCCAAUACCUGAGCUGGGAGGGACAUGGAUACUGGGCAGCACAAGACACGGGCUCUCCUCCUUCCGGGCUCUGACUCUGUUGUGUGUCCUUGCUCUCUCACCUGAAGAGGAUACCUCUUAUUUCAACAAGAGGUUAAGUGUUUCAGACACAAACUUCCUCAUCUUCUUUCUGCUGACUCUGGCUGCCUUCCAAUACAUGUUCCAUGAUGCAGACACCACCAUCUCCACUUCAAAUCCGUCUGUGACUUUCCAUUGCUCUUAGGAUAAAGACUAACCUCCUCACCAUGGUCUAAAAUGUGGAGUCAAAGGAUGGCUUCCGGUGGACAACUGGUGCCGUUCUGUAAGAUAAGGAGCUUGCUUCAGAAGUCCAGCUAUUUUACACCUCCUUCUCUGGGAAGACUUCACUGAGAAUCCAAGCAAUUUCUGGAUCCCUUCUCUCCCCUGAACUUGUAAAGAGUUUAACAAGACAUAUGCGGAACUGCCGUAAGGCGUGAAGCACUGACACUCGCUGCCACGUGGAUGUGCCCUGCGAACACGAUGCUGAGCGAGAGAAGUCAGACACAAAAGGACACACAGGAUGUGACACCACUGAUGAGAAACUUCAAGAACAGCCUGUAAUAGCAUCGCUCUCCGGAUGAAGGGCUGACUGCAGGAAGACUGAAUGCGCAAUGAGUCCUGGACCCAGACCCUGAGCUGGUGCUGCCCACAUGGGGAAGUCACUGCACGCAAAGGGGUGAUGCCCUGACACUUGCUGCCAUGUGUAUGCACCCUGAGGACGUGAUGCUCAGCGAGAGCCGUCAGAAACAAAAGGACACGCAGGGUCUGACUCCACUGAGGAGAAACGUACAGAGCAGGCCAUGCAAAGUGGUGAAGCCCUGACACUCGCUGCCACUUGGAUGCACCCUGAGACUUCUACGCUAUGGGAGAGAAGUCAGACACAGAAGGACACACAGGGUGUGACCCCACUGAGGAGAAACGUCCAGAACAGCAUGAAAAGGGUGAACCCCUGACACUCGCUGCCACCUGGAUGCACCCUGAGGACACGAUGGUCGGCGAGACAAGUCAGACACAGAAGGACACACAGGGUCUGACCACACUGAGGAGAAACGUCCAGAAAAGUCCUUCUGCAUGCAAAGAGGUGAACCCCUGACACUUGAUGCCACGUGGAUGCACCCUGAGGACACGAUGGUCGGCGAGACAAGUCAGACACAGAAGGGCAUAUAGGGUCUCACCCCACUGAGGAGAAACGUCAAGAACAGCUAGAUCCAGAGGGGAGGCUUUGGGGCCCAUGAUGCUGUUCACUGUGAGGACCUGGGGGCUGCUGCCAGUCUCCGUGGAGGCUCUGGAAGCCCCAGUGACUUCCCCACGUACGGGGCACCAGCUGAGCAUCUGGGCACAGGACUCACUGUUCGUUCAGUCUUUCUGCGAUCAAACCUUUGUUCACUUGGCAUUUACAGACACCAAGGGCAUUAGUGCUCUACACUCAGUGUAAUGCCUGUUUUGUUUGUGAUUUUCCUUUGUGGAUAACAACUAUCCACAAAAUGUUUUGUUCCAAUUUUCCAUCCUUUUAGAUUGAUAAAAAUCAUUUUAACUACGUAGAAACAAAAAAUGAAUAGAAAGAACUUUGCAUUACAUUUAAUAAAAGUUU